rnacentral:lncRNA from 1 species
GGAGAGACGAGAUAGAGGAGUGCUCUGACACAACCUCCGAACUGGCGACGGCGACGUAAAAUCCAAGACGAGGUUGACAAGGAGAUCUGGCUCAAGGGGCUCUGCAUACGUCGGAUCUAACUGAAGAUUUUUCAUGGAAAGCAUAGAUCCGCAGGUUCGAGGCUUGACUAUCCCGGGAUGGAACGGAAGCACGGAGAGUGUUAGCAAUGGAGAGCGACCGUGGUUGGAGAUGGUCUCAGGAAGUGUGGAAAGGUGGGAGCUUUUCAUCACUGUUAGAAGCGGAGGCGGAGGGGGAACCUGGAGGUAGGUGGAGCUGAGAACAGGGGCGGUGGGGACGGAGAAACUCGACGAGACGGCGUUGUUAGAGACGACGCUGACCACGGAACAGAGACUGAGAACCACGAAAAAGGGAGCAGAGGACGGUGAGGAGCGAGCGGCGGUGCAAAUGACCCGACGCCGGUGGCCAAAGGCCUCUCCGGCGCCGAGGGAAAUGAUGUGCGGCAGAGCCUCUAUCGGGAGAGAGUUAGGGCGAACUCGGGGCCAUAACGUUUAAGAGAGUCUUAAUGGAUAUAAAAAUGGUUUAUAUCAAUGUAUGGAAUAAAUGUGGCCUAACAUGUUGUAACAAUUGUGAGAAGGAACAGAUGCGGAAACAGAUGAAUAAAAGCGAUGUAACAACGACACAGAGAUUUAACGUGGUUCACCACUUUGGCUACGUCCACGGGCAAAGAGAGAUCUUAUUAUUGGAGGCGAUAUUGAGUUUACAGAGUGCAAGUUCAGGGUUACUUCGAAUACAAGAUAUAUAUAGUAACAUCUCGCAUCUAAAACCCUAGACUAAACGGACUCAUGGGCUUAAGCCCACGAUCAGAUGUAACAUCCAUAAUAACUUGAUGCAACGCUCUUGAUGCAACCGAGUCGGUAUGAUGUACGUGAUGUAACAUCCAUCGCCUAGAUGUAACAUCCAGAUUCAAGGCAUAUCAACAAUUCUCCACCUUGACUUGAAUCCUCUCAAUAACAUAUGUACCAGAUGCACCUUCAAGUGUCAAAUGUACCAGAUGCGCUUCUCUGCGCUAGAUGUACCAUCGCUCUCUUUGCCUCAGAUGUCCCUUCGGACCAAAUGUGCUGCUUAGACGAACCAGACGCCAUUUAACGGCCAGAUGCUCAAUUAGAGCCAGACGUUCGUUAUCAGCCAGACGUCCCAAUAGACCAGACGUCCUUACGGACCAGAUGUCUUUACGGACCAGACGCCCCAACGGGCCAGAUGUCCUUGCGGACCAGAUGCCCCUUCGGGCCAUAUGCCCCUUAGGGCCAUACUAACAGUUUGAGAUGUUUAGCAAGUCUAAGCAAUGCUUAAACUUGCUGUGAGGAACCAGCUUUGUGAACAUGUCAGCAGGAUUAUCUGCAGUUCCUACUUUCUUCACUUCAAUUCGCUUCACAUCUCUCAAGAAGUGAUACCUCACAUCAACAUGCUUCGUUCUCUCAUGAUGAACCUGAUCACUAUCAUAUGAUCUUAUAAUACUUAAACGAACCAUAAAAUGAUAUAUAGAAUGUUCAUAAACAGCAAUAUUGUUAAUGUAUAUUAUAAUAGUAAUUUGUUGAAAGUAUACAAAGUCCAUAAAGGGACUUCCGAAGCUUACACACAUAGUCUUCUUUACCAGGAACUUGUUUUAAACCAGUAGGUUUUGUGUUGACAGUAAAAAAGAUAUGUUUUGCUAUCUUAACUAACUACGCUGGAAGAGAAAUGAAAUUUAAAAAUAAGUAGUUAUUGGAAUUAAAUAGAUUUAGUGAAAAAUAACUAUAAUUAAAAAAUAUAGGUUUUAAAUAAAGCAGUGGCAGUGAUCGGUAAAUACUAUUAAAAGAGUGGCACUUCGAAAAAAGGUAUUCUGUUUUAAUAGUAUUGAUACUCAAAGUUCAUUCCAGAUCAAUACUGAAAUGGAUUUUUUGAUUUUUUUUACCAACAACUUAAAUUACAUAUAAAUAUGCGAACUGAUGUCAAACUUAUCUGAAUUAUAUUGAAGUUUUCUUGUAAUUUGAAACAUCUUAAUGUAUUUUCAAGCAUUUAUCUCUUAGAAAAAAAAUCUUUUUUCCAGGCAUUUAUCUUGCACUUCUUGUAAAUAAUAUGUGACAUUCCUAGUUUUGUUGGUACCUAAUUCUAGAGUAAAAGGGAUAAGUAUUUCUAGGGAGAAUUUCAGUAAUUGACAUUUCAACAAAUCACUACUAAUCUAGCAAAUGAUUUUCACUGAUGACCAAAACUUCAUUAUUUAUCCUAUUAUCCAGAUAGAUACGCAAUAUCUUUAAUCCAAAACCAAAUUCACAAAACUAAGAAAAAGUAGAAUGACUUACUUGUCUGAUAUCCGGAUCCAACCUUGUUGAAAACACUCUAACCUCUUCCAUUUUUCGAGGAGAUGAAAGGGGAUCGUACGUGCAAUUCUGGUAAGCUUGCUUAUACACACUUUUAAUAGUUCCAUCACCGGGAGAAGAAGAAACGUGUUCCAUGAAGAAAGUGACAGGUCUUUGGCAUGGAUCAGGAUGAACAUCUCUUGUGUUGAAGGUGUACACUCUUGCCAACCCGCCGUAAUUUAUCCAUGUUCGAAACGUUUUUUGUGUUCGCAAAACAUCCCGUAGAAAUAAAUGCCUACUCUCAAUCUAAUUUUAGGGACGCCCAAAAGUUAUUUUGAAUUAAUAACCUUAAGUUACAUGUCAUGCAGAAUCAUGUAUAUAGUUAGGGCACAAAACGAUAUUAAUUACCUGAACAGCAUAGCCCCAGGAGACAGAGAUGGUCCAAGAGUGCCAACGGUCGUAGCAAACGGAGACUUGAAAUAUACGGAGAGGAUCAAGUUCUACGGCGGAGAAGAGGUGGCUGACGGCCGAGAAUGUGGUUGAGUUUGGGAAAAUUGGAUCAAUGUGGGCCAUGUGGUGUAGAGACACCAACGGUCUCGUUGAAUGUGAUGUUAAUAUUCCCAAGGCAUUUCCUCUCACAUCAAACUGAUUAAUUUUUUUUUAAAACGACAACAUUUAAUCAUUAGCAAUUCAAUAAAAUCAAUUAAUUUUUUUGAUUUUUUGUAGAAAAUACAAAAAAUCUAUCUUUGUGAAAUAUUUUUUUCUCUCUAAAACAUCUAACUUAAUGAAAGGGAUGGAGUGAAUUUUUAGUAAACCUGAUGGAAGCCAGACUCAUGAGACAAUCCAACUCCAAGCUCAAGCAUACAAGCAUGAACCCUAGAGUCUCCUCCGUACAAAUGUGGAUACCUUUCGAUACAUGAAUCGAAAACUUUAGCUAAAACGUUAGCCAACGAGCUGCUUAUAGCGAUCCCUCCACCGCCAAAUGCCAUGUUGUGUCCGAACAACGAGUUCUGGUAAUAAAUCUCGGAGCUUGCUCCAAUGUAAUACCAUGAUGUGUGGUCGUAUUUGGAGAGCGUUCUUGCGAGGUUUUCAGGGAUGAAUAUAGUGUCGUCGUCUCCAAAUACGUACCAUCUUACUUCUUCUGAGGAGGUAUUAAACAUCUUUACAGUUUCUAUCACGCACCGAGCGAUCCUAAUCGCGUUUCUGUCACCGUGUUUCCAAGUGUAUCUGUUGGGCAAUGAUCAAUAUAUAUUUCAGUAGCCGAUUCAGUUUGGUUACUCUAUCUCAAAAUGUUAGAACCACCAAAGGAAUAGGAUAGGAAUAUAAAUUCUUCAUUAUUAAUAUUUUCUAAUUUUUGUGCUAAACGUGACACACAACUUCAAGUAGUUACUAUAUUUCAAAAUGUUAAGAGCAGUAAAGAGUAAACCGGACACACAACUUUUAAGCACGACGUUAAGUAGUGUUUUAAGAGUACCUCCAAAGGUUAGAACCCUUGAAAAAUUCUUAAACAAAAAAAAAAUAUUAAUAUUUUAAUGCAAAUUAAUUCUUCUGUUAAAUUCUAAAUAGAAAAACAUAAUUACAUCAAUCACAAAAUGACAAGUGUUCCAUGAAUUUAUAUUGAGGUUUUUAAAAUCUUUUAGUUUAGAACUUCUGUUGAGAUUGAACCUUGAUUAGAAUCUCCAACAGAAGAAGAAGAAAAAAAGAGUAGCUUAGAAGAAGCUACAAAGAAGAAGAAGAAGAAGAAGCUUGAAGAGCAAGCAACGAAGAAAGAAGAAGAAGCUUGGAGCGCAAGCAACGAAGGAACAAGAAGAAGACCAGCAUGGACAACAAGAAGUAAAGGGUUAGUGAGUUGUGUAACUAGAAGUUACACAACAAGAAGAAUAAAAAAAAACUAGUUAGUUAGUAAGCUAACUAAGUUAAGUUGGAGUUGGUAAUAGUUGUUAGGAGUGUAAGCAAGUUUGCUUGUAAGCAACAUGCCUAGAAGUAAGGUGCAAGCGGGAGUUGUUGAGUCUAGAGUUGCAUGUAAGCAUGUGUGUAGUAGUUAGACUAAAACUUCUAUAACUAUGUAUGUGUGUUGUUGUAAGAAGGUAUCCAAUUCUAAAAGAAAAAGAGUUGGAGAAAGAACAAUGUAGACAUACAAAGAUUACUCCGAUGUAACAACGACACAGAGAUUUAACGUGGUUCACCAACUUGGCUACGUCCACGGGCAAAGAAAGAUCUUAUUAUUGGAGGCGAUAUUGAGUUCACAGAGUGCAAUUUUAGGGUUACUUCAAAUACAAGAUAUAUAUAGUAACAUCUCGCAUCUAAAACCCUAAACUAAACGGACUCAUGGGCUUAAGCCCACGAUCAGAUGUAACAUCCAUAAUAACUUGAUGCAACGCUCUUGAUGCAACCGAGUCGGUAUGAUGUACGUGAUGUAACAUCCAUCGCCUAGAUGUAACAUCCAGAUUCAAGGCAUAUCAACAAUUCUCCACCUUGACUUGAAUCCUCUCAAUAACAUAUGUACCAGAUGCACCUUCAAGUGUCAAAUGUACCAGAUGCGCUUCUCUGCGCUAGAUGUACCAUCGCUCUCUUUGCCUCAGAUGUCCCUUCGGACCAAAUGUGCUGCUUAGACGAACCAGACGCCAUUUAACGGCCAGAUGCUCAAUUAGAGCCAGACGUUCGUUAUCAGCCAGACGUCCCAAUAGACCAGACGUCCUUACGGACCAGAUGUCUUUACGGACCAGACGCCCCAACGGGCCAGAUGUCCUUGCGGACCAGAUGCCCCUUCGGGCCAUAUGCCCCUUAGGGCCAUACUAACAGUUUGAGAUGUUUAGCAAGUCUAAGCAAUGCUUAAACUUGCUGUGAGGAACCAGCUUUGUGAACAUGUCAGCAGGAUUAUCUGCAGUUCCUACUUUCUUCACUUCAAUUCGCUUCUCAUCUCUCAAGAAGUGAUACCUCACAUCAAUAUGCUUCGUUCUCUCAUGAUGAACCUGAUCCUUGGCUAAGCAUAUAGCGCUCAAACUGUCACAAUACACAGUAGCCUGAUCUUGAUGCAAACCGAGAUCAUUAACCAAUCCUCUAAGCCAUAUUCCUUCCUUCGCAGCUUCUGUUAGCGCCAUAUACUCUGCCUCAGUAGUAGACAAUGUCACUGUAGACUGUAAAGUCGCCUUCCAGCUAACCACAGAGCCGCCCAAGGUGAACACAUAACCGGUCAUAGAUCUUCUGCAGUCUACAUCUCCAGCAUAAUCACAAUCGGAUAGCCUGUUACCAAUCGUGGAUUUUCGCAUCCAUAGAUGAGACCAACAUCAGAUGUACCCUUCAGAUACCGGAAAAUCCGCUUCACAGCUGCCCAAUGCUCCUUCCCAGGUUGUCCCAUAAACCUGCUAACCACACUGACUGCAUGUGCCAGAUCUGGUCUUGUGCAGACCAUUGCAUACAUCAAGCUUCCUACAGCGCUAGCAUAAGGAACUCGAGACAUAUACUCUGCCUCUUCUUCAGACUGAACCUCAUACAUGGUAAGAUGAAGAUUUGAUGCACACGGAGUACUAAUAGGUUUACAUGAAGACAUUUCGAACCUUGUCAACACCUUAUUAAUGUAGGCCUUCUGUGACAAGAACAACUUCUUCUUCCCCCUAUCUCUAAAGAUCUCCAUCCCUAGAAUUUUCUUUGCUGCACCCAAAUCCUUCAUCUCAAAUUCAGAACUCAGAAGCUCCUUCAGCUUCUUGAUGUCACACAUCUUCUCUGCAGCUAUCAGCAUGUCAUCCACGUAGAGCACCAAAUAGAUGAAUGUGUCAUCUUUCAAUUUUCUAAUGUAGACAAAACAAUCAUAAGGACUUUUGAUGUAGCCCAACUUGAUCAUAUAGCUGUCGAAUCUCUUGUACCAUUGUCUGGGAGACUGCUUAAGUCCAUAAAGGGACUUCCGAAGCUUACACACAUAGUCUUCUUUACCAGGAACUUGGAAACCAUCCGGCUGAGUCAUGUAUAUCUCCUCCUCAAGCUCUCCAUGAAGAAACGCAGUCUUCACAUCGAGUUGCUCAAGCUCCAAGUCCUAACGUGCUACCAGCGCUAGCAAUACUCUGAUGGAAGUAUGUCUGGCCACUGGUGAAAAUAUAUCAUUGUAGUCUACUCCCUCUCUCUGACUAAAACCUCUUGCAACAACCCGAGAUUUAUACUUAACUCCUUCUGUCGGCGAUGCUCCAUCCUUAAUCUUGUAGAUCCACUUGCAUGUAACAACUCUUCUCCCUGGUGGUAAUGUGACCAAAUCCCAUGUAUGAUUCUUCUCAUGAGACUCCAUUUCGUCUCCCAUUGCUGCAUGCCAUUUCUCAUACUCGGGACAAGAAACAGCUUCCAUGUAAGUGGAUGGUUCAUACGUAUCCACUUCCUCUGCAACCUGAAGUGCAUAACCCACCAUAUCAUCAAAACGAUAUCUUUCUGGUGGCCUGACAUCAACCCUUCUUGGUCGAUCCUUCGCGAUGCUACGCUUCGUAGCAUCAGGCGGUUGAGUCUCCGUAGACUCCAACUGAACUUCUUCUACACGCUCAUCGUGAUUUUCUGUGUGUUCAUGCACAUUGAUCACGUCAUGAUCAUCUCGCAGCUCCACCUGUUUAUCAGUGCUACCUUUCUCUGCUUCAGAACUGGACCAUGAGCUUCUAACCAUAGAUGCUUCAUCGAAAACAACAUUCCUGCUUAGAAUCACUCGGUUUUCUGAUGGAGACCAGGCCUUGUAUCCCUUGACUCCAUCGCCGUAGUCCAUAAAAAAUCCCUUCCUUGCUCUUGGCUCUAGUUUACCUUCACUUACAUGAUAGUAAACAGUGCAACCGAACACUCUUAGAAGUGAAUAAUCAGCAGAUCUACCUGACCACACUUCAGAAGGUAUCCUGCACUCGAUGCCUGUGUGGGGACCGAGAUUUAUCAAGUAACAAGCCGUGUUGACUGCUUCAGCCCAAAACCGCUUCUCCAGACCAGCAUUCGAGAGCAUGCACCUUGCUCUCUCUAGCAAUGUCUGGUUCAUUCGUUCUGCUACACCAAUUUGUUGCGGUGUUUCCCUGACUGUAAGAUGCCUUGCAAUCCCCGCAUCCUUACAAAACUGAUUGAACUCUGCUGAGCAGAAUUCCAGACUGUUAUCAGUACGAAGUCGCUUCACCUUCUUCUCUGUUUGAUUCUCCACCAAUAUUUUCCACUCCUUGAAGCUACUGAACGCUUCACUUUUGUGCUUCAUAAAAAUUAUCCAAGUCUUCCUCGAAUAAUCAUCAAUCAUAGACACAAAAUAUCUGUGACCUUUCAGUGACUCUACUCUGGAUGGACCCCAACAGUCUGAAUGGAUGUAAUCGAGUGUGCCUUUUGUUCUAUGAAUUGCCUUGCGAAAGCUCUUUCGAUGCAGCUUCCCAAAUACGCAGUGCUCACAGAACUCUAGACUCUUGGUCUUGUGACCACAGAGAAGACCUUGCUUCGACAGAAGUUGCAUCCCACGUUCACCCAUAUGUCCAAGCCUCAUAUGCCACAACUUAGUCAUAUCUUCCUCUGAGAUCUCUGGUGAUGCAACAUAUGCUGAACCUGUAACGGUAGUACCCUUCAGCAAAUAUAGAGUACCUUUCAUGAAACCCUUCAGAACCACAUCAGAACCCUUGCAGACAUUCAGAACUCCAUCACCACCCGAAUAUUUGAACCCUCUACUGUCCAGAAGACUCAUGGAUAUCAAAUUCUUCGUCAUUGAUGGAACAUGCCUAACCUCGUUCAAUGUGCAGAAUCUACCAUCAUGUGUCCUGAGCUUGAUUGAGCCGAUCCCAGCAAUCUUGUAGACAAAAUCAUUUGCCAUCUUAAUCGUGCCGUCAAGUACCUCUGUGUACUUCGAAAACCACUCUCUCCUCGGUGUCAUAUGGUAGGAUGCUCCUGUAUCCAGAACCCACACAUCAGAAGAGUUUGUGUUUCCGUGUACAACAAGAGCGAUGUCACUAUCAGACUUGGCUUCAUCCUCAGCUACUGCAACAGAUCCAGACUGUUGCUCCUUCUUCUUCUUGGGACAGUCUGACUUCCAAUGUCCCUUCUCUUUGCAAUAGUUGCAAAUAUCAGUUGGCUUAGGACCUCUUGGAAACGAAUUUCUGUCUUUCGACUUCCUUUUGUUCCCAUGUCUCUUCACACCACUGACAAACAAUCCCGAAGCUUGAUUGUCUGUCCUUGAGCUGGAUGCCUUAUGGCGUAAUUCCCGACUGUACCCAUUGCUGCAUGCCAUUUCUCAUACUCGGGACAAGAAACAGCUUCCAUGUAAGUGGAUGGUUCAUACGUAUCCACUUCCUCUGCAACCUGAAGUGCAUAACCCACCAUAUCAUCAAAACGAUAUCUCUCUGGUGGCCUGACAUCAACCCUUCUUGGUCGCAUCAGGCGGUUGAGUCUCCGUAGACUCCAACUGAACUUCUUCUACACGCUCCUCUUGAUUUUCUAGUGUGUUCCUGCACAUUGAUCACUUCAUGAUCAUCUUGCAGCUCCACCUGUUUAUCAGUGCUACCUUUCUCUACUUCAGAACUGGACCAUGAGCUUCUAACCAUAUAUGCUUCAUCGAAGAAAACAUUCCUGCUUAGAAUCACUCGGUUUUCUGAUGGAGACCAGACCCUGUAUCCCUUGACUCCAUCGCCGUAGCCCAUAAAAACUCCCUUCCUUGCUCUCGGCUCUAGUUUACCUUCACUUACAUGAUAGUAAACAGUGCAACCGAACACUCUUAGAAGUGAAUAAUCAGCAGAUCUACCUGACCACACUUCAGAAGGUAUCCUGCACUCGAUGCCUGUGUGGGGACCGAGAUUUAUCAAGUAACAAGCCGUGUUGACUGCUUCAGCCCAAAACCGCUUCUCCAGACCAGCAUUCGAGAGCAUGCACCUUGCUCUCUCUAGCAAUGUCUGGUUCAUUCGUUCUGCUACACCAUUUUGUUGUGGUGUUUCUCUGACUGUAAGAUGCCUUGCAAUCCCCGCAUCCUUACAAAACUGAUUGAACUCUGCUGAGCAGAAUUCCAGACCGUUAUCAGUACGAAGUCGCUUCACCUUCUUCUCUGUUUGAUUCUCCACCAAUAUUUUCCACUCCUUGAAGCUACUGAACGCUUCACUUUUGUGCUUCAUAAAAAUUAUCCAAGUCUUCCUCGAAUAAUCAUCAAUCAUAGACACAAAAUAUCUGUGACCUUUCAGUGACUCUACUCUGGAUGGACCCCAACAGUCUGAAUGGAUGUAAUCGAGUGUGCCUUUUGUUCUAUGAAUUGCCUUGCGAAAGCUCUUUCGAUGCAGCUUCCCAAAUACGCAGUGCUCACAGAACUCUAGACUCUUGGUCUUGUGACCACAGAGAAGACCUUGCUUCGACAGAAGUUGCAUCCCACGUUCACCCAUAUGUCCAAGCCUCAUAUGCCACAACUUAGUCAUAUCUUCCUCUGAGAUCUCUGGUGAUUCAACAUUUGCUGAACCUGUAACGGUAGUACCCUUCAGCAAAUAUAGAGUACCGUUCAUGAAACCCUUCAGAAUCACAUCAGAACCCUUGCAGACAUUCAGAACUCCAUCACCACCCGAAUAUUUGAACCCUCUACUGUCCAGAAGACUCAUGGAUAUCAAAUUCUUCGUCAUUGAUGGAACAUGCCUAACCUCGUUCAAUGUGCAGAAUCUACCAUCAUGUGUCCUGAGCUUGAUUGAGCCGAUCCCAGCAAUCUUGUAGACAAAAUCAUUUGCCAUCUUAAUCGUGCCGUCAAGUACCUCUGUGUACUUCGAAAACCACUCUCUCCUCGGUGUCAUAUGGUAGGAUGCUCCUGUAUCCAGAACCCACACAUCAGAAGAGUUUGUGUUUCCGUGUACAACAAGAGCGAUGUCACUAUCAGACUUGGCUUCAUCCUCAGCUACUGCAACAGAUCCAGACUGUUGCUCCUUCUUCUUCUUGGGACAGUCUGACUUCCAAUGUCCCUUCUCUUUGCAAUAGUUGCAAAUAUCAGUUGGCUUAGGACCUCUUGGAAACGAAUUUCUGUCUUUCGACUUCCUUUUGUUCCCAUGUCUCUUCACACCACUGACAAACAAUCCCGAAGCUUGAUUGUCUGUCCUUGAGCUGGAUGCCUUAUGGCGUAAUUCCCGACUGUAAAGCGCCGACCUAACUUCUUCCAGUCUCACUGUAUCUUUGCCAACAAUGAACGAUUGCACGAAGUUCUCGAAAGAGUUCGGCAAAGAUACCAACAGGAUUAGAGCAUCGUCUUCAUCCUCCACCUUAACAUCGAUGUUACGCAGCUCCAGUAAUAUCGAAUUUAACUUGUCAAGAUGGUCGCGAAGCUCAAUACCUUCUUGCAUACGCAAGGCAAAGAGGCGUUGCUUCAGAAGUAGCUUGUUCGUUAGAGAUUUUGUCAUGUACAAGCUCUCCAACUUCUGCCACAAACUAGCAGCAGUUUUCUCAUCCGACACUUCGAUGAUGAUCUCGUCUGCUAGACACAACAAAAUUGUUGAGAACGCCUUCUCUUCUAGAGUCUCCAAAUCAGCUGCUUCAGAUUUCUUCUCUGACAAUGGUCCCCAAAUGCCUUGUUGCUUCAACAACGCCUGCAUCUUAAUCUGCCAAAGACUGAAGCUAUUUCUCCCAUCAAACUUGUCGAUCUUCGCUCUUAUUCCAGACAUCUUCUCACUAGAUCACAACCCGAAGCUCUGAUACCAGUUUGUUGUAACAAUUAUGAGAAGAAACAGAUGCGGAAACAGAUGAAUAAAAACGAUGUAACAACGACACAGAGAUUUAACGUGGUUCACCAACUUGGCUACGUCCACGGGCAAAGAGAGAUCUUAUUAUUGGAGGCGAUAUUGAGUUCACAGAGUGCAAGUUUAGGGUUACUUCGAAUACAAGAUAUAUAUAGUAACAUCUCGCAUCUAAAACCCUAAACUAAACGGACUCAUGGGCUUAAGCCCACGAUCAGAUGUAACAUCCAUAAUAACUUGAUGCAACGCUCUUGAUGCAACCGAGUCGGUAUGAUGUACGUGAUGUAACAUCCAUCGCCUAGAUGUAACAUCCAGAUUCAAGGCAUAUCAACAAAAAGAGUUAGAGAAAACCAAACAUACAAAUGGCAAGGAAAGAAGGGUUGAUGGUCAAGAGAAGCCAAAGAAACUACAAUCAAGAGGAUGGUGAGUUGAUGGUGGACCAAAGAGAUAAUGGUGAAGAAGACGUAGGUGAUGGUUCAAAGAAUCAAGUAGCACAAGUUAAAGAUCAAAGAAGACACUAAAAUCAAGGAAGGAGCGGAAGCCGGAUGAAGCGAUGAUCAAAGUCGAGAAACCAAACCGAGAAGAAUGAGACUUGCUUACCUAAGAGAAAGGAAGCAAGGUGAACAAGAAGAAGCUCACCAAAGAGGGAGCAUGAGCAGGUUGCGCACGCAGCCAGUGAGGACGUGAGAAAAACUCACGAAAAAGAAAAACCGAGGGAGAAGGCGAAGAAAACAUGUCACAAGAAGAAGCUCUUGGAGAUUCCUCUCAAGAGGGAUAUGAGAAUCACAAGAGAAGAAGAAGAGAGUGGGAUCAAGUCCCUAAAUGGAGUUGGAGAUUUAAUCAAGGAUUCAAGAGGGAGUGUUGAGAUUGAACCUUGAUUAGAAUCUCCAACAGAAGAAGAAGAAAAAAAGAGUAGAUUAGAAGCUACAAAGAAGAAGAAGAAGCUUGGAGCGCAAGCAACGAAGGAACAAGAAGAAGACCAGCGUGGACAACAAGAAGUAAAGGGUUAGUGAGUUGUGUAACAAGAAGAAUAAAAGAAACUAGUUAGUUAGUAAGCUAACUAAGUUAAGUUAGAGUUGGUAAUAGUUGUUAGGAGUGUAAGCAAGUUUGCUUGUAAGCAAUAUGCCUAGAAGUAAGGUGCAAGUGGGAGUUGUUGAGUCUAGAGUUGCAUGUAAGCAUGUGUGUAGUAGUUAGACUAAAACUUCUAUAACUAUGUAUGUGUGUUGUUGUAAGAAGGUAUCCAAUUCUAAAAGAAAAAGAGUUGGAGAAAGAACAAUGUAGACAUACAAAGAUUACUCUCUUCUCUCUCUACAAGAACAAGAACAAAACGUGAGAGAGUAAAGAGAGUGAGUGUAAGCUUGUGUGAUGAUGAUACACAAGUGAGAACAAUGAGAGUGAGAAAGAGAAGAGCUGGCCGUGAGAAGAGUGAAGAGGCCAAGCCAAGAAAGAGAAAUUCAACAACUUCCCUCUCUCCUCUCUCUUUAAUUUUGAUUAUUUUCAAUUUUUUUAUUGUAAUAUAUUCAUGUUAGAUAUCUAUAUUGUAGGUGCACAAAAAAAAAGAUAUCUAUAUUGGAGGGGUUCUAAUAAUAUUUUUGUACUUAUAAAAAUCAUACUUUGGAGAACUUCUGAUGAAAUUUUGUGUAUGCUUAGAUAUAACUGCAAAUGUAAUAACAUUUUGUAGAGUUUAGACUUGAAUCUCCAAAAAAGUUGAGAUUUCUAUUUUAGUUUAUUUUAAAUAAUAACUUUAGAUAUAGUUAAUAAAUAAUUCUUUUUAAAAUACAAUGAAUUAUUAUUAUUAUUAUUAUUAUUAUUAUUAUUAUUAUUAUUAUUAUUAUUAUUAUUAUUAUUAUCUUAUAUGAUUUUAACUAAUAAAAUAUCAUGAAAUAAAAUAAAAUAUUUUAGAAAUUAUAACUUGGAGUUUUUGAGAUUUUGUACUCGCAAAUAUAAUAAUAGGCGUCAGAACAAAAUCAAAACCCCUUAAAUAAAAUAAUAAGCCACAAAUUAUACCCUUUUUGAUAGAAUACAAAUUAUACCUGAUUGUUAAAUAAUGAUGACAUAUUAUUGGUUUGCUUAGUUACCUGAACCGAGAUGUAUCUUCGGAAACACAGAUCGGAGGAAGGAGAGGAGAAUUUGUGUGGUUCACAAAAGACGGCAAGGGACGGUCAACAAAGACACACCCUCUCAUUCUCUGAGCAUUCCACCAAAGCUUAACAUAUUCUCUACGUGCAGGCCACGUCUUAAUGCUCGAUCCGAUCCCAAAGACGAUGUGAUCGAUCGCUGUUAGGCUCUGAGGUUGAUCUUGAGAAGAUAAGAAGUAGGCAUUAAUAGUUUCUUUAGAUUGAAACAACGAGAGGGAGAGGAGAAGGUAGACCAAGAAAGUAAAAACAGAAAGUAGUAUGCAAUAUAUCAUACGGGUCGAGAUAGUUGAAAAAGAACAUGAACAAUGAGUUUUCGAUGAGCGUUUAAAGAGAUACAUCUCCAUAGGGGUCGAAAGAGAAAAAAAAUAUAUCUGAAGAAUGAUAAAUUUUAGUCUAUUACCUUUAUAUAUAUAAAUAAAUUGAUGGAAAGAUCUCAAAAUGAGUUAUGGUACGAAGGUGGCCAUAUUAAAAUGGUGGUCACGAUGGCUAUACGCGGCACGAGAGUCCUUUUUUUUUUUUUUUAACACAAACUUAUAUUAUAAAAGACUCAAAGAGCAACGUUUACAACUGAUGCAGAAAGUCCCGAGCCCGGCUCAAUGGUAGAAUGAAGCUAGAAAACAAUACAGAAAAACUAGAGAUAGAACCAUAUAGGGGAGAGUUACGCUCAACAAAAUGAAGAAACCCAAAGAGAAACUUCACUUUUGUUCCCAUGGCGAUUGUUCGAAAGAGCAAUUGAUAGUCAAAAACGACGUUGAAACACCUAUAAGAAAAGGUUGGAAUGUUGACUGGCAAGAACUUUAGGUGAGAAGCUCCAGAUCCGUAGACAACAUUGAGAGAACUAAGUCCUAUUUGACUUAAUUUGGCGCUGAAACAAGUACGAUCAACUUUAAACCCAACAUGGCUUACAGAAUAGACUAGGUGAAUCUCAAGCUCUAACUUCACCUCCAAGGAGGCGCUUGGGGAAAUGAGGUUUGAUGACAGAGCUGAAGGUUUAAUUGGGUCCAAAACUCGGAACUCAACAUUACCGUGUCGAGCCCAACAAGUUGUAACCGAAGACCUAAGCAGACAGUCAUCACUCUCGUUCAACCAGAGUGUGUGUGAGCAAACAUCGGAUAAGAGGUAAAAGGCUUCGGGAUGGAUGGAUCUCCGUGUAACAACUCCGGUGUGAAUGUCGCAUAGUUGACUCUGUGAAGAACCGUCGAUGCUUGAGACGACAUAAUGUGAUGGAAUCGCAGCGGUGAUGGAGUUAGUAAAUCUGGCGAGUCCACACUCUUGCACAAUAGUUCCAGCGACGAGGAGAUCGGGAAGGCCACAAAUCCGGCUUUGUGAAGAACUGUCGAUGCUUGAGACGGCAUAGUGUGGUAGAGACGCAGCGGUAAAAACUUCGUGAGGAAAUCUGGCGAAACAACACUCUUGGACAAUAGGUCUGGUGGUAACUAGGAGGAAAAGAUCUAAUCGAUGUAGCUUAGCUCCAUAGAAACCUUGGUGGGAUGGAGCUGCCUCGAUGUUGGAUAUAUAAUCGGUGGCAUAAAGACCUGUGAGGAAGCUAGUGGGAGUUGGAUGGAGGCGGUGGCUGGAGUUGGUGACUCGAUCCGGCGAAGGGGAGAGACGAGAUAGAGGAGUGCUCUGACACAACCUCCGAACUGGCGACGGCGACGUAAAAUCCAAGACGAGGCUGACACUACAAGAAAACACAGUUUUAGCAAGGAAAUUUAACGAGGAAAACUAUUCCUCGUGAAAUUACGAUGACUUAAUGAUGAAAUUGCGAGGAAAUAAAGUUUCCUCGUAAUGGCCUUGUAAAAUACCGAGUAAAGCUUUUCCUCGUAAAAUCGUCGUAAGUUGACGUGAUUUUUCCGAGAAAAAUGUGUUUCGUCGCAAAUUCGUCGUAAUUUUAGCAUGAUUUUUACGAGGAAAUAACUUACGAGGAAAGAACGAGAAAUCCACCAACUUAACACGUUUUUUUUGCCACCAACCUAAUUUUUCGUCGUAAAUUCCUAGCAAAAUUCAACUACCAGAUUCGAAAAUUUUCUAUAUAUAUGGAGGUUUGAACAUAAUUUUAAGCACACCAACAAGAAAAAAAAACGUGAAAAAAAUGUCGGGCUUGGGAAAUAUUUUCGAGUUGCGGAGGUGGAUGUAUAUGCAUAGAGAUGCUAACGGGAGAGUGACGAAAGAAUAUCUUGCUGGGUUGGAGCGUUUUAUGCAUCAAGCAGAUUCUACACCGCUCGCCCAAGAAAGCGGUAAAAUAUUCUGUCCUUGUAGGAAAUGUAACAAUUCAAAGUUGGCAAAUCGUGAAAAUGUUUGGAAGCAUUUAGUAAAUAGAGGUUUCACGCCAAAUUAUUAUAUCUGGUUUCAACAUGGAGAAGGUUAUAGUUAUGAUCAGAAUGAAGCUAGUAGUAGUAAUAACAACUUUCAAGAAGAACCGGUUGAUCAUCAAUUGCAUAAUGCACAUAGUUACCAUCAGGAGGAUCAGCCGAUGGUAGAUUAUGAUAGGGUUCAUGAUAUGGUAACUGAUGCAUUCGUAGCUCAUGAUGAUGAAGAUGAAGAACCUAACAUAGAUUCAAAAAAGUUUUAUGAAAUGUUAGAUGCGGCAAAUCAACCACUUUACAGUGGUUGUAGAGAAGGUCUCUCUAAAUUGUCAUUGGCUGCUAGAAUGAUGAAUAUUAAAACUGAUCACAAUCUACCUGAAAGUUGCAUGAACGAAUGGGCAGAUUUAUUUAAAGAGUAUUUGCCGGAAGACAAUGAGUCUGCUGAUUCUUAUUAUGAGAUUCAGAAACUGGUUUAUAGUCUUGGGUUGCCUUCGGAGAUGAUAGAUGUUUGCAUCGACAACUGCAUGAUCUACUGGGGAGAUGAUGAGAAGUUGGAAGAAUGUCGAUUCUGCAAGAAACCACGAUUCAAGCCGCAAGGAAGGGGACGUAAUAGGGUACCGUACCAAAGGAUGUGGUACCUACCAAUUACAGAUAGAUUGAAAAGAUUGUACCAAUCGGAGCAGACUGCUGGAAAGAUGAGGUGGCAUGCCGAGCAUACUCAGACGGAUGGUGAGAUGACUCAUCCAUCAGAUGCAAGAGCCUGGAAACAUUUUAACAAAGUACAUCCGAAUUUCGCUAGCAAUAGCCGGAAUGUGUACCUCGGAUUAUGCACAGAUGGAUUUAGUCCAUUUGGAAUGUCAGGGAGACAAUAUUCAUUGUGGCCUGUCUUUCUUACGCCAUACAACCUGCCACCGGAGAUGUGCAUGCAACGGGAGUUUUUAUUCUUGACCAUAUUAAUACCCGGUCCGAAGCAUCCAAAAAGGUCACUUGAUGUUUUCCUACAACCACUGAUAAAAGAGUUGAAGGAUUUGUGGUCAACAGGGGUGAGGACGUAUGACUGCUCAACGAAGAAGAAUUUUACGAUGCGAGCUAUGCUUUUGUGGACCAUAAGUGACUUUCCUGCCUAUGGGAUGUUGUCUGGAUGGACUACACAUGGGAGAUUAGCUUGUCCAUAUUGUAAUGGAACGACAGAUGCAUUUCAACUGAAGAAUGGUAGAAAGACAAGUUGGUUCGAUUGUCACCGUCGAUUUCUUCCAGUUGGCCAUCCGUACCGAAGAAACAAGAAUUUGUUUAGGCACAAAAAGGUUGUGAGAGACACUCCUCCUCCAUAUCUAACUGGAGAACAAAUUGAAGCGCAAAUCGACUACUACGGAGCUAACGAAACAGUUCGCUGGGGUGGUAAUUGGCAUGUCCCUCGUAAUAUGCCUGAUUCUUACGGUGUUCAUCACAACUGGCACAAGAAGAGUAUAUUUUGGGAGUUACCAUAUUGGAAGGAUCUUCUUCUGCGCCACAACCUUGAUGUGAUGCAUAUAGAGAAGAAUUUCUUUGAGAACAUCAUGAAUACAAUAUUGAAUGUCCCAGGGAAGACAAAAGACAACAUAAAAUCGAGGUUGGACUUGCCGGAUAUUUGCUCAAGAAGUGAGUUACAUAUAAAAAGCAAUGGCCAAGUUCCCGUUCCAAUUUUUAGAUUGUCUUCAGAAAAAAAGUCGGUUUUGUUCAAUUGGGUGGCAUCAGAAGUGAAGUUCCCUGAUGGGUAUGUUUCAAAUCUUUCAAGAUGUGUUGAAAAGGGUCAAAAGUUCUCCGGGAUGAAGAGUCAUGAUUGUCAUGUCUUUAUGCAACGACUUCUGCCAUUUGCAUUUGCGGAGCUACUUCCAACAAACGUACAUGAAGCACUUGCAGGUAGUUUACAAUAGGACAAUAAUAUUAAAUUGGUUUAGUUUACAAUAAUAGUAUUUGACUAACAAUGUGUUUAAUUGUUUUUGGAAUAGGCAUUGGAGCAUUUUUCAGGGAUUUGAGCACACGCACUCUUAAAGAAGAAGUCGUAGAACAGCUUCAGGAGAACAUUCCUAUCUUAUUGUGCAACUUGGAGAAGAUAUUUCCUCCAGGCUUUUUUGACGUGAUGGAGCAUCUAGCUAUCCACCUCCCAUAUGAGGCAUUGCUUCGUGGACCGGUACAUUACGGAUGGAUGUAUCAGUACGAGCGAGCCAUGAAAUAUUUGAAGGGAAAAGCAAAGAACCUCGCCAAAGUUGAAGGUUCUAUAAUUGCUGGAAGUUUGACAGAAGAAGUUUCUCACUUCACAUCGUACUACUUUGCGUCAAAAGUACGUACCCGAAGAAGAGCUCCAAGAAGAUAUGAUGAUGGUGGCGUUGCGCCCACAUAUGCAGUUGUUGGUGUUCCAGAAAUCUUUAGCCAGAUUGGACGACUUGGUGGGAAAUCAAAACAGGUUUGGUGGUCGAGUGAAGAAGACGCUCAUAGUGCACACACCUAUAUUCUACUCAAUUGCGAGGAUCCAUUGAUGCGUUAUUUUGAAAGGUAACUUAAAUUGAGUAUACAUUAUAUAAUUGAGAGAGAUUAAUUCAUGUAAAAUGUGAAUUUACAGCAUGUUUGUUUCACAAGUCGAAGAAACAUUUCCUGGUAUAUCCACAAGUGACGUAGACAAAAGAAAAGAUCAACACUUUGUUAAGUGGUUGAAGAAUCAGGUAUUAAUCAAAUACUUUUAAAAUUUUCAUACAUGAAUGAUUUGUAUUUCAACGUUCUUUUUAUUUUUAAAUAGGUUGAUUAUGACGACGAUGCAGAUUAUCCUAAGUGGUUACACGAAGUAAUUCAAUCUCCACUUGUAAAGGUCACCACAUCACAGAUGUAUUUCACACGAGGCUAUACUUUUCACACAUAUGAGUAUGGUAAACAGCGGGCAACCAGUAACUAUGGAAUUUGUGUGAAAGGAGAAACAGAUUUCUACGGAAUCUUGACGGAGAUUAUUGAAGUCGAAUUCCCAGGGAUAUUGAAGCUAAAAUGCGUCCUCUUCAAGUGUGAAUGGUUCGACCCCGUCGUCAAUAGAGGUGUUCGGUUGAACAAAUUCGGUGUAGUAGAUGUCAACGGUGGCCGGAGGUACAACAAAUUCGAGCCCUUCAUCUUAGCUUCACAAGCAGACCAAGUUAGCUUCCUUCCAUACCCACGGAUGAGAGAGUCGGGUAUAAAUUGGUUAGCCGUGAUCAAAGUUACACCUCGAGGACGAAUCAUCGUAGGAGAAGAACCACCAUUGCAAGAAGAACAAAUAAAUGAAGUUCAUGAACCUGAACAAGAAAUUGAUGACAUCCUUCUCAUUGAUCCGCAUAAUCACGAGUAUGAAGAUCUUACCGAAGAUCCCACGGAGGAAGCUGUUGAAGACGAGUUUCAUGUAAAUGAUGAUGUUUCAAGUGAUGACGAGAAUGUCGAUGAAUCCGAUUAAUGUAUUUCAUAUUUGUAUGAGUUUGAUUUAUUAUAUAUAAUUAAAGAUAAUGGGAGUUUAUUUAUAAAUAAGAUAUCGACAUUAAUUAUAAGUAAAGGAAUUGUGUUUUUAUAAUUUUCGGUUUGGAUUAGAAUGAAUUGCUUGAGGUUAAAGGAUAGAAGUGUUUGAUAUAUGAAGUAGAAGAUAAAGAAGAUGUGGUUUGGGAUUUGGGGUUUCGUUUUAGGGGUUUAGAGACAGUCGUCGUACUUUCCACGUUAUCUCACGGGAAUUUUACGACGAUUUAUAAUACAUUACCUCGCAUAUUCCACGGUAACAGUAAACGUCGUAAGAGCCUCGUUAACUUACGUGGACUAAGAGACGAUUUAUAAUUAAAAAAGCGGACCUCGCUUAUUCCACGUAAGACCAAAACGUCGUAAGAGCCUCGUUAACUUACGUGGAAUGAGCGAGGUUAGCUUUUUUAUUUUACUUUUCGUCGUUAAUUCGUCGGUAAAUAUAAACCCUAAACUAAAAUGAAACCCAAAUCCCUAAACCCCAAAUGUGCAAACCCUAAAACUCCCCAUCCUACUUCAUAUAAACUAAAAAAAAAUUAAUUUUCAAUUUUAUUUUAACUUAAAAAAAAAAAGAGAAGAAAGAUAUUGGAAACACAUAUGACGAGAUACGUAAGUGUAGCCCACAUAAAUCUACAUCAUUUGUAUUCAAAUAUCUUCUUCUCUUUUUUUUUUGUUUUUAAACCUUUCAUAUAUGAUUUGUAGCGUGUGUUUGAUUUGUUGUGUGAUACGUCAAAUUCAAAAUUUGUAAAAUUGUUUUCCAACGUAUUAAACCUUUCAAAUUCAAAAAAAUAUAUAUAUUGAAGUUAAAGGGUUAGAAAUAUAUGAAGUAUUAGAUAAGAAAUAUAAGAAAGAUAGGGUUUGAGGUUUGGAGAUAAGAAAGAUAGGGUUUGAGGUUUGGGGUUUAAGAUUUUAGGGGUUAGCAAAAAAAGCCUCGCUAUUUGCACGUAAAAUCGAUGAUAAAAACAAAAAUCGUCGCAAGAACGACGUUAAAUAAAACACGGGCCUCUGUAUAUCCUCGUUAAUUUGCUUGGGCCUUGCGACGAAACGAAAGACGGGCCCACGUAAAAUCGAUGAUAAAACAAAAAUCAUCGCAAGAACGACGUUAAAUAAAAGACGGGCCUCUGUAUAUCCUCGUUAAUUUGCUUGGGCCUUGCGACAAAACGAAAGACGGGCCUCUGUCUUUCCUCGUUAUUUUGCGACGAAUUUUCGACGAACACUAAUCCUAUAUAUAGGCGAAACCGCAGCCCUCUUCAUUUCCUCUCUAAUUCCUCUCUACAGCCUCUCCAUUUCCUCUCAACAUGGUAACUCUCUUUCCUCUCUAAGUAGUUUAGGGAAUUUAGAUUAGGUGGUUAGUUUAGGGAAUUUAGUUUACGAAAUUAGUUUACAAAAUUUAGGUUUCCUCAUUUUAUUAAUUACGUAGUUAAUACUGUUCAUAAUUUUUUAUUUACUCUUGACUUUAAUUUAGAAAUUUAAAUUUUGCAGACUAUUCGUAGACACCAGCGUAGUGCUCACUACUCGCAGAUGUUCGGUCCACCGGGUAGUCGGUUAGACCCGCCUUCACUUCCCGGUUCUUCUUCAGCUCCCGGUUCUUCGGGUCAGCAGGAGACCGUCCCCGAGACUCAAUCUUCUCAGAGAGUCUCGCCUUCUUCUACGGCAUCGCCAUCAGUUCCUCAUGUGCCUCCUCCGGUAGCUCCUCCUCCGAUGCCAGCUCCUCAUGUGCCUCCUCAGAUGCCCGCCCAUCAGGUUCAUGCUGAUUUGAUGGUGCCAGCGAGUUGUCCUUACUCUCAGUACACUAUUGAGGACAUUCUCGGUUUGCCAGGCAGAGAAGGCUUACCGAUCAUAGACCCCGACCGACCUGAAGGAACACUUUGGUAUGUAUGUUACAUUUAUUUUUUAAAAUUCAUUUGUGACUUUAAUAAAUAUUUAAAACUUUGAAUUUGUUUUUUUUUUCCAGGUUUGGGGUUGAUAACUGCCUUGCAACAGAAGUAACCGAGACGAUUAAAGGUUACUUCUCCAUGGCACAUCCCAACUGGAAAUCCACUCCGAUCUACAUCAGAAGGACGUGGUUCAAGAUUUACGCUGUAAGUUUUUACAAUUUAUUCCUGAUUUAUAUUUUUUUUAAAUUUUAUUUUUCUAAACUAAUUAUUAAUAUAUAUUUUUUUUGCAGCAAAAAUUUAAUUGGUCCAUGGGGGUCACUGAGAAGGUGCGGAAAGAGUUUAUCGACAAGGCGAAGAAACGUUUGUUGGACACGGUCUCCAACUGGAAGGGUGACUGGAUCGUGAAGGGCUAUGAGCGGGGCAAACCCUCUCUUGAGAAGGAGCGAGGAAUUCUACGACGCGGCAAUGCAGCAUUAGUUUUUUUUUUUUUGUUAUUGUAUUUUAAAAUUCAAAACUUAUUUAUAUAUUAUAUAAUUUCAUUUUAAUUCGGCCAAAAAAAAAUUUUCUAUUCGAUUUAAUUUCAAUUAAAAUUUUAUUAAUAAAUUAAAUAAAUAUAAUUUUUAUUUAUAAAUUCAGUAAAUAGAAAACAAAGUAAUUUCGUCGCUAAUUCCCGAUGUAUUAACGAGGAAAAUUAACGACGAAAUAUCGAGGAACAAUUAUCGAGGAUUUUACGUGGAUUUACUUACGAUUCUAUUACGACGAAUUAUUUUCGUGUUUCUUACGUUUUUAUUACGACGAAUUUAUUUAGAGGUUUUUGCGGGUCUUUUACGACGAAUCAUUUACGAGUUUCUUACGAGGAAGCACAACGACCGCGUUACGUGGAAACCCCACGUGGUCUUUACGACGAAAACUUAAUUCUUCUUUACGAGGAAAAUAUAACCUCGCUAAUUAACGAGGAAAUGGCGACGAAUCUUCUCUUACGACAAUCAUAUAACGACGAAACGCCUUUCAUCGCCAUUUCUUCGUAAGCCUUCUUUUCCGAGGAAAUAACGACGAUUUUGGCCGUCGUUAAAUUUGUGUUUUCUUGUAGUGUGAGAUGUAGAUCUGGCUCGGACUCUGCAUAUGUCGGAUAUGACUGAAGAUUUUUAAGGGAAAGCAUAGAUCCGUAGGUUCGAAGCUUGACUAUCCCGGGAUGGAACGGAAGCACGACGAUAAGCAGUUCGACGACACAGGGAGACAGCGUUGAAACUCCGAUGAACGAGGUGAAUGGCCGUCUUGGAGAGCAGCAGUGGUUGAAGAUGGAGAGUGAUAGCAAUGGAGAGCGACCGUGGUUGGAGAUGGCCUCAGGAAGAGUGGAAAGGUGGGAGCUUUUCUUCACUGUUAGAAGCGGAGGCGGAGGGGUAACGCGGAGGUAGGUGGAGCUGAGAACAGGGGCGGUGGUGACGGAGAAACUCGACGAGACGGCGUUGUUAGAAACGACGCGGACCAUGGAACAAAGACUGAGAACCACGAAAAAGGAAGCAGAGGACGGUGAGGAGCGAGCGGCGGUGCAAAUGACCCGACGCCGGUGGCCAAAGGCCUCUCCGGCGCCGAGGGAGAUGAUGUGCGGCAGAGCCUCUAUCGGGAGAGAGUUAGGGCGAACUCGGGGC